rnacentral:rRNA from 1 species
GGCUUAACACAUGCAAGUCGAGCGCCCCGCAAGGGGAGCGGCAGACGGGUGAGUAACGCGUGGGAAUCUACCCAUCUCUACGGAAUAACGCAUGGAAACGUGUGCUAAUACCGUAUACGUCCUUCGGGAGAAAGAUUUAUCGGAGAUGGAUGAGCCCGCGUUGGAUUAGCUAGUUGGUGGGGUAAAGGCCUACCAAGGCGACGAUCCAUAGCUGGUCUGAGAGGAUGAUCAGCCACACUGGGACUGAGACACGGCCCAGACUCCUACGGGAGGCAGCAGUGGGGAAUAUUGGACAAUGGGCGCAAGCCUGAUCCAGCCAUGCCGCGUGAGUGAUGAAGGCCCUAGGGUUGUAAAGCUC